rnacentral:rRNA from 1 species
UACGUAGGGGGCAAGCGUUGUCCGGAAUCAUUGGGCGUAAAGAGCGUGUAGGCGGCCCGGUAAGUCCGCUGUGAAAGUCCAGGGCUCAACUCUGGGAUGCCGGUGGAUACUGUCGGGCUCGAGUCCGGAAGAGGAGUGUGGAAUUCCUGGUGUAGCGGUGAAAUGCGCAGAUAUCAGGAGGAACACCAAUGGCGAAGGCAGCACUCUGGGACGUGACUGACGCUGAGACGCGAAAGCGUGGGGAGCAAACGGG